rnacentral:rRNA from 1 species
UGGGGAAUUUUGGACAAUGGGCGAAAGCCUGAUCCAGCAAUGCCGCGUGUGUGAAGAAGGCCUUCGGGUUGUAAAGCACUUUUGUCCGGAAAGAAAUCCUUGGCUCUAAUACAGUCGGGGGAUGACGGUACCGGAAGAAUAAGCACCGGCUAACUACGUGCCAGCAGCCGCGGUAAUACGUAGGGUGCAAGCGUUAAUCGGAAUUACUGGGCGUAAAGCGUGCGCAGGCGGUUUGCUAAGACCGAUGUGAAAUCCCCGGGCUCAACCUGGGAACUGCAUUGGUGACUGGCAGGCUAGAGUAUGGCAGAGGGGGGUAGAAUUCCACGUGUAGCAGUGAAAUGCGUAGAGAUGUGGAGGAAUACCGACGGCGAAGGCAGCCCCCUGGGCCAAUACUGACGCUCAUGCACGAAAGCGUGGGGAGCAAAACAGGAUUAGAUACCCCUGGUAGUCCACGCCCUAAAACGAUGUCAACUAGUUGUUGGGGGAUUCAUUUCCUUA